AAACAUUGAUAGUACAGUACAUCUACUAUCCGCCCGGGUACUACGAGCACCAGCUUAAAACCCAAAGGACUUGGCGGUGCUUUAGAUCCACCUAGAGGAGCCUGUUCUAGAACCGAUAAUCCCCGUUAAACCUCACCUUUUCUUGUUUUCCCCGCCUAUAUACCGCCGUCGUCAGCUUACCCUGUGAAGGACCAAUAGUAAGCAAAAUUGGCACAGCCCAAAACGCCAGGUCGAGGUGUAGCGUAUGGAAAGGGAAGAAAUGGGCUACAUUCAAUAUAACAAUGCAUACGGAUGGUGGCCUGAAAUAACCACCUGAAGGAGGAUUUAGCAGUAAGCAGGAAAUAGAGAGUCCC
rnacentral:rRNA from 1 species